rnacentral:rRNA from 1 species
UGGCGGCGUGCUUAACACAUGCAAGUCGAACGAUGAUGCCCACUUGUGGGGGGAUUAGUGGCGAACGGGUGAGUAACACGUGAGUAACCUGCCCUUGACUCUGGGAUAAGCCUGGGAAACUGGGUCUAAUACCGGAUAUGACCUUCCAUCGCAUGGUGUGUUGGUGGAAAGCUUUUGUGGUUUUGGAUGGACUCGCGGCCUAUCAGCUUGUUGGUGGGGUAAUGGCCUACCAAGGCGACGACGGGUAGCCGGCCUGAGAGGGUGACCGGCCACACUGGGACUGAGACACGGCCCAGACUCCUACGGGAGGCAGCAGUGGGGAAUAUUGCACAAUGGGCGCAAGCCUGAUGCAGCGACGCCGCGUGAGGGAUGACGGCCUUCGGGUUGUAAACCUCUUUCAGUAGGGAAGAAGCGUAAGUGACGGUACCUGCAGAAGAAGCGCCGGCUAACUACGUGCCAGCAGCCGCGGUAAUACGUAGGGCGCAAGCGUUAUCCGGAAUUAUUGGGCGUAAAGAGCUCGUAGGCGGUUUGUCGCGUCUGCCGUGAAAGUCCGGGGCUCAACUCCGGAUCUGCGGUGGGUACGGGCAGACUAGAGUGAUGUAGGGGAGACUGGAAUUCCUGGUGUAGCGGUGAAAUGCGCAGAUAUCAGGAGGAACACCGAUGGCGAAGGCAGGUCUCUGGGCAUUAAAUCACGCUGAGGAGCGAAAGCAUGGGGAGCGAACAGGAUUAGAUACCCUGGUAGUCCAUGCCGUAAACGUUGGGCACUAGGUGUGGGGGACAUUCCACGUUUUCCGCGCCGUAGCUAACGCAUUAAGUGCCCCGCCUGGGGAGUACGGCCGCAAGGCUAAAACUCAAAGGAAUUGACGGGGGCCCGCACAAGCGGCGGAGCAUGCGGAUUAAUUCGAUGCAACGCGAAGAACCUUACCAAGGCUUGACAUGAACCGGAAAGACCUGGAAACAGGUGCCCCGCUUGCGGUCGGUUUACAGGUGGUGCAUGGUUGUCGUCAGCUCGUGUCGUGAGAUGUUGGGUUAAGUCCCGCAACGAGCGCAACCCUCGUUCUAUGUUGCCAGCGCGUGAUGGCGGGGACUCAUAGGAGACUGCCGGGGUCAACUCGGAGGAAGGUGGGGACGACGUCAAAUCAUCAUGCCCCUUAUGUCUUGGGCUUCACGCAUGCUACAAUGGCCGGUACAAAGGGUUGCGAUACUGUGAGGUGGAGCUAAUCCCAAAAAGCCGGUCUCAGUUCGGAUUGGGGUCUGCAACUCGACCCCAUGAAGUCGGAGUCGCUAGUAAUCGCAGAUCAGCAACGCUGCGGUGAAUACGUUCCCGGGCCUUGUA